GGAAAACAGAGGACGGCAAAAAUUUGUCUAUGCUCGCGAUGCGUUUCGUUCCUUCGAAUCCACCCUCUUCUUUGUCAGAAAAUUCAGACUUUCGCUCGACGUGUCCCCGAGAACAAUCCGCCAUUGAAUAUAAAAAGCAACAAGCAAAGUUGAAGAUUGCCACGUACCACCAACUCAUUCUUCGCUCGCAUUUCUCGCUCACGACUGACCCACUCCUCGACAUUGAUUAUAUAUUUUUCUCAGUUCUGGUCUUUUCUCCGUGUUCUCUCCCUCUCUCUCUCCUGCGUAUGUGGUUUCUGCAUCAACACGAGCUCUUCGAAGACAACUCCGAUGAGACCGCACGAUGUCCUUGUCCGAACCACCGCCUUCAUGUCGUCGCUGAUGAUGAUCUUGCAGCUGGGUCACGGGCAGAGCGCGGCUCCUUCGCCUUCACCCAAGGGUCCUUCCAGUGACGGGAAAGAGAUCGAUCAAGGAGUAGCUUACAUUCUUCUUCUGGUGGCACUGGCGAUCACAUAUCUCUUCCAUUGACUCUGGCUCUUCUUCACGAUCUGUUCAUCAUGCGUAAUCUAACGCUUCUUUAUAGGUUUAUUCUAUUUGCUUGCUUGGAGAGAUUUUGCACUUAGCACCUGCACAUGUAAUGACAGGAAAUUCGAAUGAGCAUUUUUGUAAAAAUAGUAUUUUUCUCAUUAUUAUAGUGAUGAUGAUUAUUAUUAUCAUCAUAGUAGUACAAAUGAAAAGAACUUUUACUUUUA